AGAGGGUGCAAGCGUUAAUCGGAAUUACUGGGCGUAAAGGGUGCGUAGGUGGAUAAAUAAGUUGGGUGUAAAAUCCCCGGGCUCAACCUGGGCAGGUCAUUCAAAACUGUUUAUCUAGAGUACAGUAGAGGGAAGUGGAAUUUCCGGUGUAGCGGUGAAAUGCGUAGAUAUCGGAAGGAACACCAGAGGCGAAGGCGACUUUCUGGACUGUAACUGACACUGAGGCACGAAAGCGUGGGGAGCGAACAGGAUUAGAUACCCUGGUAGUCCACGCUGUAAACGAUGAAAACUAGCCGUUGGUAGACGAUGUUUAUCAGUGGCGCAGCUAACGCAUUAAGUUUUCCGCCUGGGGAGUACGGCCGCAAGGCUA
rnacentral:rRNA from 1 species